GGUUGGGCUGUUCGCCCAUUAAAGCGGUACGCGAGCUGGGUUUAGAACGUCGUGAGACAGUUCGGUCCCUAUCCGCUGUGCGCGUAGGAAACUUGAGAAGACCUGUCCCUAGUACGAGAGGACCGGGAUGGACGAACCUCUGGUGUGUCAGUUGUUCCGCCAGGAGCACCGCUGAUUGGCUACGUUCGGAAGUGAUAACCGCUGAAAGCAUCUAAGCGGGAAGCACGCUUCGAGAUGAGGUUUCCAUACACCUUGUGUGUGAGAGGUUCCCUAGAGACGAUGGGGUUGAUAGGCCGGAUGUGGAAGACCAGUAAUGGUUGUAGCUGACCGGUACUAAUGAACCGAUAACUUAUUA
rnacentral:rRNA from 1 species